rnacentral:tmRNA from 1 species
GGGGAUGUAAAGGAUUUUGACAGGGCGAUUUUGUUCUCCGUUGAUUGCAUGCCGGAGGGUAGUUCUCCGUUAUCAACAUACAAAAAAAUAAACGCUAACAACGUUGUAGAUGCUAGAAAUGCUUUUGCAGCUUCCGCUGUAAGAAAAGCAGCCUAAGAAAGUUAGGUGUAGCCACUUUGUAAGUUGAAUUUGCAGGCUUACAAGGUCACUUUCGCAAAUACAGUAUGUGUUAUUUAAGGCGGCAUAUAUCAAGAUUCAGUCUUAAAAGUUGCUUGUCUUUAAAAUAAGCUAUGAUUAAACCGUAAGGUUUUGAUUUUUCCCUUGAUUUAAUCUAAACAAUAAAAGUCUAAGCAUUGUAGAGGUCAACAGGAGUGCCGUUUUGGACGCGGGUUCGACUCCCGCCAUCUCCA